rnacentral:ncRNA from 2 species
GAUGGUCCGACUGAAAUGGGUGCCCCUGUGUCUAGGGGAUAAUCGGGAAGUAUGGUGAGGCCGUAGGCCAAUUCCAUCGCUGCCCCCGCAACGGUAAUGAGUGAGUCGCCUGCAGGAACCACUGGCAUAGCGCUGGGAAGGUGCAGGCUUCGACGUCGUUCUGGCGUCCUCCUCGAGCCCGGAGACCGGCCCAUCAAUCCAUCAUCAU